rnacentral:rRNA from 1 species
CCUACGGGGGGCUGCAGUGGGGAAUAUUGGACAAUGGGGGGAACCCUGAUCCAGCCAUGCCGCGUGUGUGAAGAAGGCCCUCGGGUUGUAAAGCACUUUCAGUGAGGAAGAACGCCUGGUGGUUAAUACCCAUCAGGAAAGACAUCACUCACAGAAGAAGCACCGGCUAACUCCGUGCCAGCAGCCGCGGUAAUACGGAGGGUGCGAGCGUUAAUCGGAAUUACUGGGCGUAAAGCGCGCGUAGGUGGCUUGAUAAGCCGGUUGUGAAAGCCCCGGGCUCAACCUGGGAACGGCAUCCGGAACUGUCAAGCUAGAGUGCAGGAGAGGAAGGUAGAAUUCCCGGUGUAGCGGUGAAAUGCGUAGAGAUCGGGAGGAAUACCAGUGGCGAAGGCGGCCUUCUGGACUGAAACUGACACUGAGGUGCGAAAGCGUGGGUAGCAAACAGGAUUAGAUACCCGGGUAGUC